AGUAACGCGUGGGUAACCUGCCUCAUACACAUGGAUAACAUACCGAAAGGUAUGCUAAUACAAGAUGAUAUAAGAGAUUCGCAUGGAUUUCUUAUCAAAGCUCCGGCGGUAUGAGAUGGACCCGCGUCUGAUUAGCUAGUUGGUAAGGUAAUGGCUUACCAAGGCAACGAUCAGUAGCCGACCUGAGAGGGUGAUCGGCCACAUUGGAACUGAGACACGGUCCAAACUCCUACGGGAGGCAGCAUG
rnacentral:rRNA from 1 species